ACACACACACACACACACACAAACACACACGCACACACGGUCAGGAGAAGAGGCAGGAGAAGCACUGAAGUGUACAUGUGCGUGGGUGUGAAAAAAAAAAUAAACCUUCCUGCGCUCUGUCCAAGGGAGACAAGACAUCGAGAACCCCUUUUCUUUGAGAUAAUGAGAGAGAACACACACACACACACACACACACACACACACACACACACACACACACACACACAGACACACACACACACACACACACACACACACACACA